rnacentral:misc_RNA from 1 species
AAGUCGUAACAAGGUUUCCGUAGGUGAACCUGCGGAAGGAUCAUUAUUGAAUAAACCUGAUGUAGUUGUGCUGGCUCUCUUGAGAGUAUGUGCACGCUCGUCAUCUUUAUAUUUCCACCUGUGCACCUUUUGUAGACCCAGGCGACUUGAGCAAUCAUGUCAAUUGGGCCUAUGUCUUAUCAUAUACCCCAUAGUAUGUCUUUGAAUGGAUCAAUGGGUGUUAAGCCUAUAAACAUUAUACAACUUUCAGCAACGGAUCUCUUGGCUCUC